GUAAAUCCUCAGUUUUCUCUUCUCAGAAUUCUUCAACCAUAUCGAGAUUCGAACCUCCCCUGGAAUUAAAUACCUCUUAUAGCUCCGUUAAAUGAAUCGGCAUCAAAUAUGGACAUACAUGUUCGAAUUCAAAAUUUCCAUUCAUGGCACUGACAUUGGAUUCAUGGGUGGGCCCAUUUGUCACGCUGGUAUUAGCACUUCUUACAGGCCAUUGACAACUGAGGAUUAGUGAGCUACAUCACCAACUUAGAUUCAUCAUUUCAUGAUGGAUGGUUAUCUUCAUGUGGUUUGGAGAUGGUGACAUCUUGGUUUGCCAUGGAGGAUUCUUGAGUCUUCAUUGAGGUGUCAACUUAUGAUAUGUUCUUCAAGGAGCAUAUGAUAUUGGACUUUGAGGAGAGGUUGCAUUUGAAGUUAGCAUGGAUUGAUUGGUGGAUGCUCAUGUAGACUAUAGAGACUUGGGUGAGGCUAUGAGAUCUCAUCUUUUUUGGGAUUGUGUGUUGAGAUAAUUACUCUUUGAUGAGGAUUACAAUAGAAAGAACAAGGAGUCUACACCUGGUUAUGCAUGUGAACCUAUUAUGGAUCUAAAGAGAAGGUUAAUUCAUCUUGAGAAUUGUGAAAAUGCAAUUAGAUGUCAAACUAAUAAGGUAUCCACCUUUGUCCAAAUUGCAUAAGGAUUUUGGGUGUUUAAUAAGGACCUCAAGCUUGUGAAGACAUGACAAAGGUGAAAAGAAAGACAUUUUUUCUUACCAUAAUAAGCUUCUAUUACAUGGACAUAAAUUACAGUGAUAAGGUUUACACACCCAAAAAUGCUACUUUAAAAGUUUUAGAGCUCUUCCUUAUGCAAACUUCCUAAAUCACCUCUAAACGACCAUCACAAAUCUUUGAGCACCUACCUCUUUCUUAGGUAUGUCCUCCUUUCUACCUUACAUUUCCUACCACGAUUAAUGAAUUUGUAAUUAUUUGUCCCUUCAACCUACCUCUCUCCUCAUAUUACUUCCCGCCAUUUUAUAUAACUCAUUUUAAUUUCUCAAG